AGUCGACGAUGAAUCUUCUAGCUUGCUAGAAGUGGAUUAGUGGCGCACGGGUGAGUAAUGCAUAGGUUAUGUGCCCUUUAGUCUGGGAUAGCCACUGGAAACGGUGAUUAAUACUGGAUACUCCCUACGGGGGAAAGUUUUUCGCUAAAGGAUCAGCCUAUGUCCUAUCAGCUUGUUGGUGAGGUAAUGGCUCACCAAGGCUAUGACGGGUAUCCGGCCUGAGAGGGUGAUCGGACACACUGGAACUGAGACACGGUCCAGACUCCUACGGGAGGCAGCAGUAGGGAAUAUUGCUCAAUGGGGGAAACCCUGAAGCAGCAACGCCGCGUGGAGGAUGAAGGUUUUAGGAUUGUAAACUCCUUUUGUUAGAGAAGAUUAUGACGGUAUCUAACGAAUAAGCACCGGCUAACUCCGUGCCAGCAGCCGCGGUAAUACGGAGGGUGCAAGCGUUACUCGGAAUCACUGGGCGUAAAGAGUGCGUAGGCGGGGUAAUAAGUCAGAUGUGAAAUCCUGUAGCUUAACUACAGAACUGCAUUUGAAACUGUUACUCUGGAGUGUGGGAGAGGUAGGUGGAAUUCUUGGUGUAGGGGUAAAAUCCGUAGAGAUCAAGAGGAAUACUCAUUGCGAAGGCGACCUGCUGGAACAUUACUGACGCUGAUGCACGAAAGCGUGGGGAGCAAACAGGAUUAGAUACCCUGGUAGUCCACGCCCUAAACGAUGGAUGCUAGUUGUUGCCUUGCUUGUCAGGGCAGUAAUGCAGCUAACGCAUUAAGCAUCCCGCCUGGGGAGUACGGUCGCAAGAUUAAAACUCAAAGGAAUAGACGGGGACCCGCACAAGCGGUGGAGCAUGUGGUUUAAUUCGAAGAUACGCGAAGAACCUUACCUA
rnacentral:rRNA from 1 species